rnacentral:rRNA from 1 species
AUUGAACGCUGGCGGCAUGCCUUACACAUGCAAGUCGAACGGCAGCACGGGGCAACCUGGUGGCGAGUGGCGAACGGGUGAGUAAUGCAUCGGAACGUACCUUUCAGUGGGGGAUAACGUAGCGAAAGUUACGCUAAUACCGCAUAUUCUGUGAGCAGGAAAGCAGGGGAUCGCAAGACCUUGCGCUGAUUGAGCGGCCGAUGUCAGAUUAGCUAGUUGGUGAGGUAAAGGCUCACCAAGGCGACGAUCUGUAGCGGGUCUGAGAGGAUGAUCCGACACACUGGACCGGAGACCCGGUCCAGACGCCGACGGGAGGCAGCAGUGGGGAAUUUUGGACAACGGGGGCAACCCUGAUCCAGCCAUGCCGCGUGAGUGAAGAAGGCCUUCGGGUUGUAAAGCUCUUUCGGCCGGGAAGAAAUCGCACGGGCUAAUACCCUGUGUGGAUGACGGUACCGGAAUAAGAAGCACCGGCUAACUACGUGCCAGCCGCCGCCGUAAGAC